UAUGGCGGGUGCUGGCGUUCGCGCCGCCAACCUGGAACACUUUCUCGACGCAGGCGUCAGGGAAGUGCACAGUUCGGCGGGGCAGUAUAGCCCAUCGCCCAUGCGCUAUCGCAAUACCGGAUUAUCCAUGUCGUCGGAUGCCAGUGCGGAUGAAUACUCCCGCUAUGGCGUAGACGGCAAGGCUGUGGCGACGAUGAAAGCCCUCAUAGUCGGUCGUCCGUAACCGUUUUUUACCGCGCAUCAUGUCGCCCAAUGUGAUGCUUGCUCGUACCAGGCCCCUGCAUUUCACAGGGGUCUUUUUU
rnacentral:ncRNA from 1 species